rnacentral:snoRNA from 1 species
CCUUUUGAUGAUCCUUUUAAUCGAAUUUCAAACUAGAGUUUAUGAACUUCUAAAUAAUAUGAUUAUACUUUUAAUCUGAAG